GACGAACGCUGGCGGCGUGCUUAACACAUGCAAGUCGAGCGGUAAGGCCCCUUCGGGGUACACGAGCGGCGAACGGGUGAGUAACACGUGGGUGACCUGCCCUCAGCUCUGGGAUAAGCCUGGGAAACUGGGUCUAAUACCGGAUAUGACUCCAUGACGCAUGUUGUGGGUGGAAAGCCUUGUGCGGCUGGGGAUGGGCCCGCGGCCUAUCAGCUUGUUGGUGGGGUGAUGGCCUACCAAGGCGACGACGGGUAGCCGGCCUGAGAGGGCGACCGGCCACACUGGGACUGAGACACGGCCCAGACUCCUACGGGAGGCAGCAGUGGGGAAUCUUGCGCAAUGGGCGAAAGCCUGACGCAGCGACGCCG
rnacentral:rRNA from 1 species